UACGGGGGGGGUAAGCGUUGUUCGGAAUUACUGGGCGUAAAGGGCGCGUAGGCGGCCUGGCAAGUGGAUGGUGAAAUCCCUCGGCUUAACCGAGGAACUGCCAUCCAGACUGCUUGGCUUGAGACCGGGAGAGGUGAGUGGAAUUCCCAGUGUAGCGGUGAAAUGCGUAGAUAUUGGGAGGAACACCAGUGGCGAAGGCGGCUCACUGGACCGGUACUGACGCUGAGGCGCGAAAGCGUGGGGAUCAAACAGG
rnacentral:rRNA from 1 species